AGGACUACCAGAAAAUGGGUGCAAGGAAUCUAGGUAACCGCUGGAAAUAACUACAGAGCUUAUAUGACCCCGCCAUGUCCGAGCUCCACCUCAGGGUUCCCACGCACGAGGACAGCUUCCCCAGGCUGACAGCCUCCCUCAGGCUCAAUUGGAAUUGCUUCCGCGUGGGGCCCGUGGAGGAAGCCAUGGCCAGAGAAGCUGCUGCAGGAACCUUCUGGUACCUUCCGGCUUGUUCUGCUUUGUUCUCCGCCUGUGGUCAGAAAGAAAGCCGACUCAGUAGGAUUGUGGUCAUGAUACUGAACGAGUUAUACUGCAACCAAGAGAUAAAAGCCACAGACUAAGCAGGGUGCAAAGGAAAGUGGAAGAAGCCUGGAUCCUUAUGGAUAGCACGAAGCAGAUUUGGACUGACAAUGUAUUCGUUAUGGUUAUCUGUGAGCAGUGAUCUCCGAUGUUACUAUUGUAGUUGUUUGGGGACACCAUGGAUCACACCCAGCAGCUACUAGCCUGAUCAGUCAGCAGCCAUCAACACUGAAAAGACCCUUCACCAGCAAAAGGAUUAUGACUCACUGAAAGCUCAGAUGAUGGUUAGCAUUUUCAGCAAUAAAGUAUUUUUAAUUAAGGUA